AUUGUAGCAUUCUCUCGUCGUUUUAAGGUGACCUGAAGACAAGUUCAACCUGAAGUCACCCGAAGAAAGGAGUAUUCUUGCGAAUCAAACUUGGUUGAGGUGGCCGUCUGGGAUCUUGACAUCUGAAGCUUGACAUCUGAAGCAAGAUGAUGAUGUUUUGCUGUGAUCACCUGUGCUCAUUACAUGGUGCUUCAGGAAUGACUUGUCUAAUGUUGGUAAUUGUUGGUGCUCAUCAAUUUUCAUGGUUAUUGUUGGACCGACUUUCCGGUAUGCUGGAUUAAGCUGUUGCAGCUUUGAAGUCUGGGGUGCCAACCUUGUUUGGACUAAUUGCCAGAUGUAUCAUUAUAAAUUUCUUCGGUGAGAGUUGAG
rnacentral:misc_RNA from 1 species